UAGUUGCAUAAAGAGAAGGAAACUUCAGCAACCUAGUAGCCAACUAAGGUGCUUUUUGAUGUGGUUAAAUAACAAAAAAUGGCUUCUU
rnacentral:ncRNA from 1 species